GCUGGUUAUUCUUUUGCUUGAGGUUUACAAGGGAUGGAACACGAAAAUUCCCAGAAAACCUCGGCUCAAGUAAGAUAGUUUAUGAACUCUGCAGCAGUUGCAACGGCUCCUCCUGUAAUUGCAUCGAUUACAACUUUGUCCCGGUUUUUGUUGCUCGCUGCCGAUAUUAGAGCUCCCGUCAAAGCACCUCCAAUCAUUGCAUUUUUCCAAUCCCUUGUGCCACGAAUCCUUUCUACUCCAUACUCCAUACCAACAUAAACUCCAGCUACGGUUCCCCAAUAUGCACCUUCUUUACACAUUUUCUUCAACGUGUUUUCAAAAUUGUGAGUAGAAAUCGUUCCUUUUCUAACGACAUGAUAAGCAUCCUCAGCAGCCGCUCGAGUAGCAGCGACAGAUCCGAUCUUCAAGAAGCCAUCGACGGUGAGAUUGAGAAAGGGGUUGCCCAUGUCGAUGACGACGUCGACCUUGGGGGUGGAUAAGGAGCCGACGAAGCCGGUGCGAGGCAUGGUGUUGUUCACAGAGUUGGGUGUGGG
rnacentral:misc_RNA from 1 species